UACGUAGGGGGCAAGCGUUGUCCGGAUUCAUUGGGCGUAAAGAGCGUGUAGGCGGCCCGGUAAGUCCGCUGUGAAAAGUCCAGGGCUCAACCCUGGGAUGCCGGUGGAUACUGUCGGGCUCGAGUCCGGAAGAGGAAGUGUGGAAUUCCUGGUGGUAGCGGUGAAAUGCGCAGAUAUCAGGAGGAACACCAAUGGCGAAGGCGCACUCUGGGACGAGACUGAU
rnacentral:rRNA from 1 species